AUUGAACGCUGGCGGCAGGCUUAACACAUGCAAGUCGAGCGGGGAAGGGUAGCUUGCUACCUAACCUAGCGGCGGACGGGUGAGUAAUGCUUAGGAAUCUGCCUAUUAGUGGGGGACAACAUUCCGAAAGGAAUGCUAAUACCGCAUACGUCCUACGGGAGAAAGCAGGGGAUCUUCGGACCUUGCGCUAAUAGAUGAGACUAAGUCGGAUUAGCUAGUUGGUGGGGUAAAGGCCUACCAAGGCGACGAUCUGUAGCGGGUCUGAGAGGAUGAUCCGGCACACGGGGACUGAGACACGGCCCAGACUCCUACGGGAGGCAGCAGUGGGGAAUAUUGGACAAUGGGGGAAACCCUGAUCCAGCCAUGCCGCGUGUGUGAAGAAGGCCUUAUGGUUGUAAAGCACUUUAAGCGAGGAGGAGGCUACUGAGACUAAUACUCUUGGAUAGUGGACGUUACUCGCAGAAUAAGCACCGGCUAACUCUGUGCCAGCCGCCGCAGUAA
rnacentral:rRNA from 1 species